rnacentral:rRNA from 1 species
ACGCACGCUGGCGGCGUGCUUAACACAUGCAAGUCGAACGGAAAGGCCCUGCUUUUGUGGGGUGCUCGAGUGGCGAACGGGUGAGUAACACGUGAGUAACCUGCCCUCGACUUUGGGAUAACUUCAGGAAACUGGGGCUAAUACCGGAUAGGAGCUCCUGCUGCAUGGUGGGGGUUGGAAAGUUUCGGCGGUUGGGGAUGGACUCGCGGCUUAUCAGCUUGUUGGUGGGGUAGUGGCUUACCAAGGCUUUGACGGGUAGCCGGCCUGAGAGGGUGACCGGCCACAUUGGGACUGAGAUACGGCCCAGACUCCUACGGGAGGCAGCAGUGGGGAAUAUUGCACAAUGGGCGGAAGCCUGAUGCAGCAACGCCGCGUGCGGGAUGACGGCCUUCGGGUUGUAAACCGCUUUCGCCUGUGACGAAGCGUGAGUGACGGUAAUGGGUAAAGAAGCACCGGCUAACUACGUG